rnacentral:rRNA from 1 species
AUUGAACGCUGGCGGCAGGCCUAACACAUGCAAGUCGAGCGGAUGAAGGGAGCUUGCUCCUGGAUUCAGCUGCGGACGGGUGAGUAAUGCCUAGGAAUCUGCCUGGUCGUGGGGGAUAACGUCCGGAAACGGGCGCUAAUACCGCAUACGUCCUGAGUGAGAAAGUGGGGGAUCUUCGGACCUCACGCUAUCAGAUGAGCCUAGGUCGGAUUAGCUAGUUGGUGGGGUAAAGGCCUACCAAGGCGACGAUCCGUAACUGGUCUGAGAGGAUGAUCAGUCACACUGGAACUGAGACACGGUCCAGACUCCUACGGGAGGCAGCAGUGGGGAAUAUUGGACAAUGGGCGAAAGCCUGAUCCAGCCAUGCCGCGUGUGUGAAGAAGGUCUUCGGAUUGUAAAGCACUUUAAGUUGGGAGGAAGGGCAGUAAGUUAAUACCUUGCUGUUUUGACGUUACCAACAGAAUAAGCACCGGCUAACUUCGUG